GAUGAACGCUGGCGGCGUGCCUAAUACAUGCAAGUCGAGCGAACAGACGAGGAGCUUGCUCCUCUGACGUUAGCGGCGGACGGGUGAGUAACACGUGGAUAACCUACCUAUAAGACUGGGAUAACUUCGGGAAACCGGAGCUAAUACCGGAUAAUAUAUUGAACCGCAUGGUUCAAUAGUGAAAGACGGUUUUGCUGUCACUUAUAGAUGGAUCCGCGCCGCAUUAGCUAGUUGGUAAGGUAACGGCUUACCAAGGCAACGAUGCGUAGCCGACCUGAGAGGUACUCGGGCCCCACUAGAACUCUCCCACGCUCCAGGCUCCUGCGGGGGGCCGCGGUGGGGCUUCUUCGGCAAUGGUCACAGGUUUGACGGACCACCGCCGCUUGGGUAAUAAAGUUCUUCGGUUCUUAAACCCUUUUUAUCAGUAAAAAACAAAUUUGUAAUUAACUACGCCCUUCUUGCCGCUACCUAAUCAGAAGGCCCCGCCUACCUCCGUC
rnacentral:rRNA from 1 species